AGAGUUUGAUCCUGGCUCAGGAUGAACGCUAGCGACAGGCUUAACACAUGCAAGUCGAGGGGCAGCGGGGAUGAAGGCUUGCCUUCAUCUGCCGGCGACCGGCGCACGGGUGAGUAACACGUAUGCAACCUGCCCGUCUCAGGGGGAUAACCGGGAGAAAUCCCGCCUAAUACCCCACGACACCUCCAAGGGGCAUCCCUUGGAGGUCAAAGGAGUGAUCCGGAGACGGAUGGGCAUGCGGCGCAUUAGCUAGUCGGCGGGGUAACGGCCCACCGAGGCGACGAUGCGUAGGGGUUCUGAGAGGAAGGUCCCCCACACUGGAACUGAGACACGGUCCAGACUCCUACGGGAGGCAGCAGUGAGGAAUAUUGGUCAAUGGGCGAGAGCCUGAACCAGCCAAGUCGCGUGAGGGAAGAAUGGUCUAUGGCCUGUAAACCUCUUUUGUCAGGGAAGAAUAAGGAUGACGAGUCAUUCGAUGCCAGUACUUGACGAAUAAGCAUCGGCUAACUCCGUGCCAGCAGCCGCGGUAAUACGGGGGAUGCGAGCGUUAUCCGGAUUUAUUGGGUUUAAAGGGCGCGUAGGCGGGACGUCAAGUCAGCGGUAAAAGACUGCAGCUAAACUGUAGCACGCCGUUGAAACUGGCGCCCUGGAGACGAGACGAGGGAGGCGGAACAAGUGAAGUAGCGGUGAAAUGCAUAGAUAUCACUUGGAACCCCGAUAGCGAAGGCAGCUUCCCAGGCUCGUUCUGACGCUGAUGCGCGAGAGCGUGGGUAGCGAACAGGAUUAGAUACCCUGGUAGUCCACGCCGUAAACGAUGCUCACUGGAUCUUGGCGAUACACUGCCAGGGUUCAAGCGAAAGUAUUAAGUGAGCCACCUGGGGAGUACGUCGGCAACGAUGAAACUCAAAGGAAUUGACGGGGGCCCGCACAAGCGGAGGAACAUGUGGUUUAAUUCGAUGAUACGCGAGGAACC
rnacentral:rRNA from 1 species